UACAGAGGGUGCAAGCGUUAAUCGGAAUUACUGGGCGUAAAGCGUGCGUAGUCGGCAAUUUAAGUCGGGUGUGAAAUCCCCGGGCUCAACCUGGGAAUUGCAUUCGAUACUGGAUCGCUAGAGUUCGGCAGAGGGAAGUGGAAUUUCUGGUGUAGCGGUGAAAUGCGUAGAUAUCAGAAGGAACAUCAGUGGCGAAAGCGACUUCCUGGACCAGAACUGACGAUCAGGCACGAAAGCGUGGGGAGCAAACAGG
rnacentral:rRNA from 1 species